rnacentral:rRNA from 1 species
CCUACGGGAGGCAGCAGUGGGGAAUCUUGCGCAAUGGGGGAAACCCUGACGCAGCGACGCCGCGUGGAGGAUGAAGGCCUUCGGGUUGUAAACUCCUUUUCUUAGGGAAAAUGAUGAUGGUACCUAAGGAAUAAGCCACGGCUAACUCUGUGCCAGCAGCCGCGGUAAGACAGAGGUGGCGAGCGUUGUUCGGAAUUACUGGGCGUAAAGCGUGCGCAGGCGGUUCGCUAAGUCUGAUGUGAAAGCCCCGGGCUCAACCUGGGAAUGGCAUUGGAAACUGGCGAGCUUGAGUGUGGCAGAGGGGGGUGGAAUUCCACGUGUAGCAGUGAAAUGCGUAGAGAUGUGGAGGAACACCGAUGGCGAAGGCAGCCCCCUGGGCUAACACUGACGCUCAGGCACGAAAGCGUGGGGAGCAAACAGGAUUAGAUACCCUGGUAGUCCACGCCCUAAACUAUGUCAACUGGGUGUUGGGGAAGCGAUUCCUCAGUACCGUAGCUAACGCGUGAAGUUGACCGCCUGGGGAGUACGGCCGCAAGGUUAAAACUCAAAGGAAUUGACGG